GUUCGAUCAUAGCUCAGAUUAGACGCUGGCGGGAUACUUUACAUACCAAGUCGAACGGCAGCACGGACUUCCCGGUCUGGUGGCGAGUGGCGAACGGGUGAGUAAUGUAUCGGAACGUGCCCUAGUAGCGGGGGAUAACUACGCAAAAGCGUAGCUAAUACCGCAUGCGCCCUUCGGGGGAAAGCGGGGGGACCUUCGGGCCUCGCACUAUUGGAAACGGCCGAUAUCGGAUUAGCUAGUUGGUGCCAGGGUAACGGCUCGCAAGGCGACGAUCCGUAGCUGGUUUGAGAGGACGACCAGCCACACUGGGACUGAGACACGGCCCAGACUCACGGGGAGGCAGCAGUGGGGAAUUUUGGUUUAAUGGGGAAACCCUGAUCCAGCCAUCCCGCGUGUGCGAUGAAGGGGCUUCGGGUUGUAAAGCAUAACAGGGGGAAAGAAACGGCACGGGAUAAUACCCCCGCAACUGACAGUACCUGCAGAAUAAGCACCGGCUAACUACGUGCCAGCAGCCGCGGUAAUACGUAGGGUGCAAGCGUUAAUCGGAAUUACUGGAGCCAAAGCGUCACGCAGGCGGUUCCGGAAAGAAAGAUAUGAAAUCCCAGAGCUUAACUUUAGUUAGUACCGCUACCGAGCUAGAGUGUGUCAGAGGAGGUGGAAUUCCGCGUGUAGCAGUGAAAAUGCGUAGAUGGAGGAACAUGAUUGCGAAGGCAGCCUCCUGGGAUAACACUGACGCUCAUGCACGAAAGCGUAGGGAGCAAACAGGAUUAGAUACCCUGGUAGUCCACGCCCUAAACGAUGUCAACGUGUUGGGGGCCUUCAGGCCUUGGUGGCGCAGCUAACGCGUGAAGUUGACCGCACAGGGAGUACGGUCGCAAGAUUAAAACUCAAAGGAAUUGACGGGGACCCGCACAAGCGGUGGAUGAUGUGGAUUAAUUCGAUGCAACGCGAAAAACCCCUACCCUUGACAUGUCUGGAAUCCCGAAGAGAUUUGGGAGUGCUCGCAAGAGAACGGAACACAGGUGCUGCAUGGCUGUCGUCAGCUCGUGUCGUGAGAUGUUGGGUUAAGUCCCGCAACGAGCGCAACCCUUGUCACAUUGGUGCUACGAAAGGGCAUAAUGGGACUGCCGGUGACAAACCGGAGGAAGGUGGGGAUGACGUCAAGUCCUCAUGGCCCUUAUGGGUAGGGCUUCACGUCACUUAAUGGUCAGAACAGAGGUCGCCAACCACGAGAGAGAACCAAUCCCGAAACCCGAUCGUAGUCCGGAUCGCAGUCUGCAGCUCGACUGCGUGAAGUCGGAAUCGCUAGUAAUCGCGGAUCAGCAUGUCGCGGUGAAUACGUUCGGGUCUUGUACACACCGCCCCGUCACACCAUGGGGUGGGUUUUACCAAGUAGUUAGCCCUAGCAUGGAGGGCGAUUACCACGGUAGGAUUCAUGACUGGGGUGAAGUCGUAACAAGGUAG
rnacentral:rRNA from 1 species